rnacentral:lncRNA from 1 species
AUCAAACUCAGGACCUCGCGCUUUUCGAGGUUGGCGCUGUGCUGCUGAGCCACAACCCUAACCCUUCAUGUCAUUUCUUAUUACCAGCAAAUGUUGCUCUUUGGUCUUUGACCGUUUAUUUUCUUGGUUACUUGAAAUCCUGCUUGUCCUUUAAAGCGGAGCUCUGCAACUCUUCAGACUGCCCUACCUGAUUUCCCUGAAAAUACUGUUCCACAUUUCCCCCGUAGAUUACUCCUCUCUCCUUCCACUUCAAAAUUAAGCUCUUCAAGAACUCAGGCUUUGAGAUUGAAACCAUGUCAUUUCUAAAUUUCAGUCUUUCUUCAGGAGGCUGAGGCAGGAGGAUCGUCUCAUGUUUCAGGCCAGCCUGGCCUACCCUACAUGUUUUUCAGAUAAAUGUUUUGCUGGAAGAACUUCAUCUUCUAAGAGUACAGGAGUUGGCAGACGCUUUCUCUAAUGUGCAAGGUAG